rnacentral:rRNA from 1 species
UACUGCCGUGAAUACGUUCCCGGGCCUUGUACACACCGCCCGUCACACCAUGAGAGUUGGAGAUACCCGAAGCCUGUGAGCUAACAAACGAGGCAGCAGUCGAAGGUAGAAUCAAUGAUUGGGGUGAAGUCGUAACAAGGUAAC